rnacentral:rRNA from 1 species
GACGAACGCUGGCGGCGUGCCUAACACAUGCAAGUCGAGCGGAGUCAGUAAGAGGAAGUUUUCGGAUGGAAUCUUAUUGAUUUAGCGGCGGACGGGUGAGUAACGCGUGAGCGACCAACCUUGCACAGGGGGAUAACGGACCGAAAGGUUCACUAAUACCGCAUGAGACCACGGUGUUGCAUGACACAGGGGUCAAAGGAGUAAUCCGGUGCAAGACGGGCUCGCGUCCGAUUAGGUAGUUGGAGGGGUAACGGCCCACCAAGCCUAUGAUCGGUAGCCGACCUGAGAGGGUGAUCGGCCACAUUGGAACUGAGAUACGGUCCAAACUCCUACGGGAGGCAGCAGUGGGGAAUAUUGGGCAAUGGGGGAAACCCUGACCCAGCAACGCCGCGUGAGUGAUGACGGCCUUCGGGUUGUAAAGCUCUGUCUUCAGGGACGAUAAUGACGGUACCUGAGGAGGAAGCCACGGCUAACUACGUGCCAGCAGCCGCAGUAA